rnacentral:rRNA from 1 species
GGUCAAGCGAAUAAGCGCACACGGUGGAUGCCUUGGCGGUCAGAGGCGAUGAAGGACGUGGCAGCCUGCGAAAAGUAUCGGGGAGCUGGCAACAAGCUUUGAUCCGGUAAUGUCCGAAUGGGGAAACCCACCCGCUUGCGGGUAUCCUGCAGUGAAUACAUAGCUGCUGGAAGCGAACCUGGUGAACUGAAAUAUCUAAGUAACCAGAGGAAAAGAAAUCAACCGAGAUUCCGUAAGUAGCGACGAGCGAACGCGGACUAGCCCUUAAGCUGAUUUGGUUCUAGGAAAACGCUCUGGAAAGAGCGGCCAUAGAAGGUGAUAGCCCUGUAUCUGAAAGGGCCAUUUCAGUGAAGACGAGUAGGGCGGGGCACGUGAAACCCUGUCUGAACAUGGGGGGACCAUCCUCCAAGGCUAAAUACUACUGACCGACCGAUAGUGAACCAGUACCGUGAGGGAAAGGCGAAAAGAACCCCGGAGAGGGGAGUGAAAUAGAACCUGAAACCGUGUGCGUACAAGCAGUAGGAGCUCCGCAAGGAGUGACUGCGUACCUUUUGUAUAAUGGGUCAGCGACUUACUGUUCGUGGCAAGCUUAACCGUAUAGGGGAGGCGAAGGGAAACCGAGUCUGAUAAGGGCGCAUAGUCGCGGGCAGUAGACCCGAAACCGGGUGAUCUAGUCAUGCCCAGGGUGAAGGUGCGGUAACACGCACUGGAGGCCCGAACCCACUCCCGUUGCAAAGGUAGGGGAUGAGGUGUGAUUAGGAGUGAAAAGCUAAUCGAACCCGGAGAUAGCUGGUUCUCCUCGAAAGCUAUUUAGGUAGCGCCUCAUAUGUAUCCUCUCGGGGGUAGAGCACUGUUAUGGCUAGGGGGUCAUCGCGACUUACCAAACCAUUGCAAACUCCGAAUACCGAGACGGACUGUAUGGGAGACACACGGCGGGUGCUAACGUCCGUCGUGAAAAGGGAAACAACCCAGACCCACAGCUAAGGUCCCAAAUUUUGUGCUAAGUGGAAAACCAUGUGGAAAGGCACAGACAGCCAGGAGGUUGGCUUAGAAGCAGCCACCCUUUAAAGAAAGCGUAAUAGCUCACUGGUCGAGUCGGUCUGCGGGGAAGAUUUAACGGGGCUAAGCACAGAACCGAAGCUUGGGGUGCAUAACUUUGUUAUGCGCGGUAGAGGAGCGUUCCGUAAGCCGUUGAAGGUGGAUUGAGAAGUCUGCUGGAGGUAUCGGAAGUGCGAAUGCUGACAUGAGUAACGAUAAUGCGGGUGAAAAACCCGCACGCCGAAAGCCCAAGGUUUCCUUGCGCAACGUUAAUCGGCGCAGGGUGAGUCGGCCCCUAAGGCGAGGACGAAAGUCGUAGUCGAUGGGAAGCAGGUUAAUAUUCCUGCACCUCGCGUAAGUGCGAUGGAGGGACGGAGAAGGUUAGGUGUACCAGGCGUUGGUUGUCCUGGGGAAAGGCGGUAGGUUUGGAUCUUUGGCAAAUCCGGGAUCCUCUAAGACCGAGCACCGAGACGAGCCUUUAAGGCGAAGUCACUGAUACCACGCUUCCAGGAAAAGCUCCUAAGCUUCAGCUUACGCAGACCGUACCGUAAACCGACACAGGUGGGUAGGAUGAGAAUUCUCAGGCGCUUGAGAGAACUCGGGUGAAGGAACUAGGCAACAUGGCACCGUAACUUCGGGAGAAGGUGCACCCUUUUUGGUGGCUCGUGCGAGCUAUAGCUGAAGAGGGUCGCAGUAACCAGGCCGCUGCGACUGUUUAUCAAAAACACAGCACUCUGCAAACACGAAAGUGGACGUAUAGGGUGUGACGCCUGCCCGGUGCUGGAAGGUUAAUUGAUGGGGUCAGCCGCAAGGCGAAGCUCUUGAUCGAAGCCCCAGUAAACGGCGGCCGUAACUAUAACGGUCCUAAGGUAGCGAAAUUCCUUGUCGGGUAAGUUCCGACCUGCACGAAUGGCGUAACGACAGCGGCGCUGUCUCCACCCGAGACUCAGUGAAAUUGAAAUCGCUGUGAAGAUGCAGCGUUCCCGUGGCAAGACGGAAAGACCCCGUGAACCUUUACUAUAGCUUUACACUGAACGUUGAGUUCGUCUGUGUAGGAUAGGUGGGAGGCUAUGAAACCAUGGCGCUAGCUGUGGCGGAGCCAUCCUUGAAAUACCACCCUGUCGUGCUUGACGUUCUAACCUGGGCCCAUUAUCUGGGUCGGGGACCGUGUAUGGUGGGUAGUUUGACUGGGGCGGUCUCCUCCUAAAGAGUAACGGAGGAGCUCGAAGGUACGCUCAGCGCGGUCGGACAUCGCGCACUGUGUGCAAAGGCAUAAGCGUGCUUGACUGCAAGAUCGACGGAUCAAGCAGGUAGGAAACUAGGACUUAGUGAUCCGGUGGUUCUGUAUGGAAGGGCCAUCGCUCAACGGAUAAAAGGUACUCCGGGGAUAACAGGCUGAUACCGCCCAAGAGUUCAUAUCGACGGCGGUGUUUGGCACCUCGAUGUCGGCUCAUCACAUCCUGGGGCUGUAGUCGGUCCCAAGGGUAUGGCUGUUCGCCAUUUAAAGUGGUACGCGAGCUGGGUUCAGAACGUCGUGAGACAGUUCGGUCCCUAUCUGCCAUGGGCGUUGGAGAUUUGAGAGGGGCUGCUCCUAGUACGAGAGGACCGGAGUGGACGAACCUCUGGUGUUCCGGUUGUCACGCCAGUGGCAUUGCCGGGUAGCUAUGUUCGGAAGCGAUAACCGCUGAAAGCAUCUAAGCGGGAAGCGCGCCUCAAGAUGAGAUCUCCCGGGGCACAAGCCCCCUGAAGGAACCAUGUAGACUACGUGGUUGAUAGGUCAGGUGUGUAAGUACAGCAAUGUAUUGAGCUAACUGAUACUAAUGAUCCGUGCGGCUUGACCAU